UGUGUCUUGUGUCUUUCACCAUGAUUGUGAGGCCUCCCCUGCCGCGUGGAACUACUCUUGCUCUGUUGCCCAGUCUAGAGUGAGCAAGCAGCCUCUCACUAGAGUUCACUGCAGCCUGGAGUUCCUGGGGUCAAGUAAUCCUCCUGCCUCAGCCCGCCAGAGCGCUGCCCAGAGAUUGUCAACAAUAGAGAAACAUCACGGAAGACAAAAAACCCACAGGCACUUUGAGUCCACCAGUCAACAGCCUAUACUGAUUGCUGGUGGGGUUCCCUGUAUCCAGCGAGGAAGACAGAAUGCAAAGCCAAGAAAGGUACAUGAAAUGUGUGGUAGUGGUUCCUCUUGUGAUCAAGCAGCUUUAGAGAUUGGCAUUGAAAAUAUAGAACUAUGAUUUAUGAUCUUCAACAUGAAAAUGAUCAUUGAUGCGACACAGAAAAAUACAAAACAGGAUUGACGGCCACAAUGUGUAUAUGUGUUGUGAGUGUAAAGGGUAGAAUAUUUCAGACUCUCUGUGUUAACCAAAAAUAAAAUUAUUUUCUUGUUUUUCUGUAACUCAACCUCAAUUUGAACACACUAUUUCACAUAAUAACAGAAAUUUGGUCUAAUCAUUCAAAACAAACUCCAAGGUUUUCUCAGUCAUUUCUUACGUAAUCUCAAUAUUCUCUCUCUUUCAUUCCUUUUCCAUUUGUGGAGGUGAGAGGCUAAUAAUAGUAAUAAUUAUAACAAUAGCUAAAAUAUUAAGCUACUAUUAACUUCUUAAGGUGCAAUCCCUCCCUCACACCACUCCCUGCUUUCUCAUCCCCAGACAGCUGAUCUUCUUUCUAUCGUGAUAGAUUAGUCUGCAUUUUUAUAUGUCAUUUUAUAUAAAUUGAAUCAUACCAUAUGUACUCUUUUUGUUUGGCUUCAUUCACUCAACAUAAUUUUUUUGAGAUUCAUUCAUAUUGUUGCUUGUAUUAAUAAUUCAUUCCUUUUUAUUGUGUGAAUAUACCUCAUUCCAUUAAACAGGUAAUGGAAAUUUUGGUUGUUUCCAGUUUGUAACCAUCACAAAUAGAGUCUCUGUGAAUAUUAAGGUACAACCUGUUUGGUGGACAUAUGUUUCCACUUUCCUUCUACUCUUCCUAGAAGUGGAAUGCAGGGGUCAUACGGUAGGUGUUCAUACAUCUUUCUAAGAAAAUGCCAAACUGUUUUCCAAAGUGAUUUUAUUAUUUUACAUUCACACCAGUAAUGUAUAAGAGUUUAUAGUCCCUCCAGCAAACUAACAAGGAACAGAAAACCAAACACCACAUGUUUUCACUCAUAAGCGGGAGUUGAACGAUGAGAACAUAUGGACACACGGAGGGGUACAUCACACAUCGGGGCCUAUCAGGUGGUUGGGGGCAAGGGUAGGGAAAACAUUAGGACAAAUAUCUAAUGCAUGUGGGGCUUAAAACCUAGAUCAUGGGUUGACAGGUGCAGCAAACCACCAUGGCACAUGUAUACCUAUGUAACAAACCUGCACGUUCUGCAUAUGUAUCCCAGAACUUAAAGUAAAAUUAAAAAUAAAAAAGUUUACAGCCCCCCAAUAUGUAAUAUGCUCAGACUUUUAAAAUUUCUGUCAUUUCAGUGGGUGAGUAGUGAUAACUCAUUGUGGUGGAAUUUUCAUUUCCCUAGUGACUAAUGAUCUUAAGCCUCUUUUGAUGUGUUUAUCAUCUGUAUAACUCCUUUGAUAAAACAUCUGUUUGUAUAUCUUGCCCAUUUUCUACUAUGCUAUUUCUUUUUAUUAGACAUUUUUAUGUUCUAAUUACAAGUUAUUUAUCAGAUUCAUGUUUGCAAUAUUUUUCCUGGUUUAUUUGCUUAACAGAAUAAACUGUUUUAGAUGGUAAUGCACAAUAUUAAUUUUUUUCUCUUAUGAAUUGUGUUUCUGGUGUUGUAUUUAAGAAAUAUUUUCCAAGGCCAAGACCACUAAAGUUUUCUCCUAUGUUAUCGUCUAGAAGUCCUAUACUUUUGACAUGUU
rnacentral:lncRNA from 1 species